rnacentral:rRNA from 1 species
GAAAGAACGUUAAGGGCGUAUGGUGGAUGCCUUGGCUUUGAAAGGCGAUGAAGGACGUGGUGUGGCGACGAUACGCUUCGGGGAGGUGCCAAGCAACCUUUGAUCCGGAGAUUUCCGAAUGAGGAAACUCACGAGAGAGAAAUCUUUCGUACCUUGAGUAAUCAAGGAGCAUACCUCGGGAAGUGAAACAUCUCAGUACCGAGAGGAAAAGAGACUAAUAAGAAUUUCGUUAGUAGCGGCGAGCGAACGCGAAUAAGCCCAAACUGCAGAAUUGCCCAAGCCGCUUGAGAUGUUCGAGCGGUUCGGGUGAUUCUCAGGGUUGUAAGGCAAUUAUGGCUGCACUUGAUGUGGCACGAAGUUACAAAUUGUUGAGAUAGCUGAAGUCGCUGGAAAGCGACACCCCAGAAGGUGAAAGUCCUGUAGGCGAAAUCGAAACAACUUCUUAAUUGUCCUUGAGUAGCUCAAGACAUGAAUGGCUUGAGUGAAUCUGCCGGAACUAACCGGUAAGGCUACAUACUUUCAAAGACCGAUAGCGAAUUAGUACCGUGAGGGAACGGUGAAAAGAACCCCGGUGAGGGGAGUGAAAGAGAACUGAAACCAUAUGUCUACAAGGAGUCGAAGAGGGGGCAACUCCUCGACGGCGUGCCUAUUGAAGAAUGAGCCUGCGAGUUUAUGUGUGCUGCGCAUGACUAAGCUGGAGACAGCGGAGUCGUAGGGAAACCGAGUGUGAAUAGCGCGUUAGUAGUACGCAUAAGACCCGAAGCGAGGUGAGCUUGCCAUGGGCAGGGUGAAGUGCACCGAAAGGUGCACGGAGGCCCGAACCGGUUAGCCGUGCAAAACUAUCGGAUGACCUGUGGUAAGGAGUGAAAAGCUAAUCGAACCUCGUAAUAGCUGGUUCUCUCUGAAACAGCUUUUGGGCUGGCGUCGCAGCGAUUGAUGUUUGGGGGUAGAGCACUGGAAGGACAAGACAGGGAGCAAUCUCGCUUGUCCUAUCAAACUCCGAAUACCGAACAUGUUCUGCGGCAGUUAGUACGUGGGGGCUAAGCUCCACCGUACAAAAGGAGAAGAGUCCUAGAUCUCAAGUUAAGGUCCCAAAAUCUACGUUCAGUGCAUCACAAGGAGGUGGAAUUUCCCAGACAAUGAGGAUGUUGGCUUAGAAGCAGCCAUCAUUGAAAGAAAGCGUAACAGCUCACUCAUCGAGAGAUUCUGCGCCGAAGAUAAUCGGGGCUUAAACGUAGUACCGAAACUGAGGGCUUGUGAACUUCGAUGAAGUUUGCAAGCGGUAAGAGAGCGUUCCGUUUGCGAUGAAGCUAAAGGCGCGAGCCAUAGUGGAGCGUACGGAAGUGAGAAUGCAGGCACAAGUAACCGCAAUGCGGGUGAGAUCCCCGCACGCCGAAAGAUCAAGGUUUCCUUGGCAAUGGUGAUCAACCAAGGGUUAGUCGGGCCUAAGCCGAUGGCGAAAGCCGGAGGUGAUGGACACACGGUUAAUAUUCCGUGACCGGCAGAUAUGCUAUGGAGUGACGGAGGAAAUAAUCAUCCGCGUCUUAUUGGAUUGACGUUUGUGGUGUGAAGUAGGUAUGUCAGGCAAAUCCGGCAUACGGCCUUUAGUGGUAACUAUCAUGCACAGCAAAGCAGUGCAGGGCUUCGGCCUUGUGCGAUGGAUGAGAAGAGCCUUCCAAGAAAAACUUCUAUGCUUCAGUAUCUGUACGACCGUACCGCAAACCGACACAGGUGAUCAGCUCGAGUAGAGCAAGGCGAACGAGUGAAUGUACUCCAAGGAACUCGGCAAAAAAGCAGCCGUACCUUCGGAAUAAGGCUUGCCCCAUGCAAAUGGGGCCGCAGCGAAAGUAUCCCUGGCGACUGUUUACCAAAAACACAGCUCCCUGCGAACUCGUAAGAGGAUGUAUAGGGGGUGACACUUGACCAAUGCCAGAAGGUCAAAUAUCGCCGUUGUUAUGUCGCAAGAUGUAUUGGUGAGUGAUAUAAGCCCUGGUGAAUGUCGGUCGUAACUAUAACGAUCCUAAGGUAGCGCAAUUCCUUGUCAGGUAAGUUCUGACGCGCAUGAAUGGCGUAAUNNGUGAAGAUGCCGGUUACCUGCAGAUAGACGAAAAGACCCCAGAAGCUUUACUGUAGCUUGAUAUUGCAUAUACGAUGUGACUGCGUAGCAUAGGUGGGAGAGGUUGAAGUCUUGGUUUUGGCUGAGAUGGACUCGCCAGUGAAAUACCACUCUUUCUUAUUGUAUGUGCUAACCGGUGCGGCAAAACCGCAUCGAGACAGUAUCUGGUGGGCAGUUUUAGUGGGGCGCUAUNNUCCUAAAGAGUAACGGAGGAGUGUAUUAAGGUCGGCUAGGCGCGAAUGGAAACCGUGCCGAUAGCGCAAUGGCAAAAGCCGGCUUGACUGCAAGGCGUGAAUGCCGAGCAGGUGCGAAAGCAGACCAUAGUGAACCGACCAUCCGCAUUAGACGCGGUGGAAGAUUAUCUGACAAAAGCUACUCUGGGGAUAACAGGCUAGUUCCGCCUAAGCGUCCACAGCGACGGCGGAGUUCGGCACCUCGAUGUCGGCUCACCAUAUCCCGGGGGUGAAGAAGCUCCCAAGGGUUUGGCUGUUCGCCAAUUAAAAUGGUACGCGAGCUGGGUUCAGACCGUUCAGAUGCUAAAUCUUUUGGCGUUUGGACAGUCUGAACCACGAGGAAAUGCAAUAACACAUUGCGCUGUUAACUAAUCACGGCGGCGAUAUGCAGCAAUGUAUAUCGAGAAGCUAACUUAUAUCGGUGAAACCCCUCGCGGGGCAAUACCGAGGGAACCCUACAUGUGGGGCCCGUAGAGACUGAAUGUUAGCCAUCCCUCUUUGGGAUGAUGAUACAGUCCAAUCCACUCAGUAAUGAGUGAAGACUCGAUUUCGUUUUCGAGUUGUAGGUGCGUGAGACAGGUUGGUCUCCUAUCUACUGCAG